rnacentral:rRNA from 1 species
CCUACGGGCGGCUGCAGUGGGGAAUAUUGGACAAUGGGGGCAACCCUGAUCCAGCCAUGCCGCGUGUGUGAAGAAGGCCCUCGGGUUGUAAAGCACUUUCAGUGAGGAAGAACGCCUGGUGGUUAAUACCCAUCAGGAAAGACAUCACUCACAGAAGAAGCACCGGCUAACUCCGUGCCAGCAGCCGCGGUAAUACGGAGGGUGCGAGCGUUAAUCGGAAUUACUGGGCGUAAAGCGCGCGUAGGUGGCUUGAUAAGCCGGUUGUGAAAGCCCCGGGCUCAACCUGGGAACGGCAUCCGGAACUGUCAAGCUAGAGGGCAGGAGAGGAAGGUAGAAUUCCCGGUGUAGCGGUGAAAUGCGUAGAGUUCGGGAGGAAUUCCAGUGGCGAAGGCGGCCUUCUGGACUGACACUGACACUGAGGUGCGGAAGCGUGGGUAGCAAACAGGAUUAGAUACCCUGGUAGUA